rnacentral:rRNA from 1 species
UGUGACUUACGGGGGGCAGCAGUGGGGAAUCUUCCGCAAUGGGCGAAAGCCUGACGGAGCAACGCCGCGUGAUCGAAUGAAGGCCUUCGGGUUGUAAAGAUCUGUUGACAGGGACGAAUAAGCAAUGCAAAUAGUUUUGUGUAUGACGGUACCUGUUUAGAAAGCUCCGGCUAACUACGUGCCAGCAGCCGCGGUAAUACGUAGGGAGCAAGCGUUGUCCGGAAUUACUGGGCGUGAAGGGCGCGUAGGUGGGCGCUUAAGACAGGUGUGAAAACUCCGGGCUCAACCUGGAGCCUGCACUUGAA